CGACUUUGUGGACUACCUGAGUGACCCCUCCAAACGGAAUGACAUUGAGACUGGCUGGCUGAGGCAAAGAUCCAUCAUGUGAACAUGAUCAAUGUCCUCUUUGAGCUGGUGCUGUUUGGGAUGAUGACAGCUCAGAAGUCCCUGAUGGUGCACCCUGGUGGGUUCGUGGAGCGUCUGUACGCUCUCCUGUACUCCUUCCUGCCCACUGCUGCCAACAUGGAGCCAGAGGCCGACAGAUACCUGCUGCUGCUCAAUGUAAGAGUCAAGAGGUUACUUCCUGUUUACUUCCAUAUUCUUAGUGUACUUCCUUUUUACUUCCUUAUUCAUGGUUAACCAGGUUUCAAUGCCAUUUUAGGGUGAGUAUUUCAAAUUGUCUCUCUCCUCUUGAUAAGCUAGUAACUCAGAGCCAUUUUCUAUGUGUUGUGUGG
ensembl:lncRNA